rnacentral:rRNA from 1 species
GAUGAACGCUGGCGGCGUGCCUAAUACAUGCAAGUAGAACGCUGAAGGAAGGAGCUUGCUCUUUCCGGAUGAGUUGCGAACGGGUGAGUAACGCGUAGGUAACCUGCCUGGUAGCGGGGAUAACUAUUGGAAACGAUAGCUAAUACCGCAUAACAGUAGAUGUUGCAUGAUAUCUACUUAAAAGGUGCAAUUGCACCACUACCAGAUGGACCUGCGUUGUAUUAGCUAGUUGGUGAGGUAACGGCUCACCAAGGCGACGAUACAUAGCCGACCUGAGAGGGUGAGCGGCCACACUGGGACGGAGACACGGCCCAGACGCCUACGGGAGGCAGCAGUAGGGAAUCUUCGGCAAUGGACGGAAGUCUGACCGAGCAACGCCGCGUGAGUGAAGAAGGUUUUCGGAUCGUAAAGCUCUGUUGUAAGAGAAGAACGAGUGUGAGAGUGGAAAGUUCACACUGUGACGGUAUCUUACCAGAAAGGGACGGCUAACUACGUG